rnacentral:lncRNA from 1 species
GGCAAAAGCACAAAUAUAAAACUUGUGUUUUACCUUAAAAGGUAAAAAGGCUUAAUGUCAUACACAUGCUAGUUUUACAAAUUUCGUGCAGUCUCAAUAAAAACAUCAGAAUGUUUUUAAAAAAAACUAGAUAGCAGAUUUCAAAGUUGCUACAAAAAAGAAGCAAGGAUGGGGUUUAGCUCAGUGGAAGAGUGCUUGCCUAGUGAGGCACUGGGUUCGAUUCUCAGCACCACAUACGAAUAAAUAACAAAGGUCCAUCAACAACUAAAAAUGAAGAAGAAAGAGAAGAAAGAAGAAUCAUCAAAGCUAGCCAGCAAAACUAAAAAGCAGACCUACCUUAUAAAAUAUUUAAACAGGCUUUUCAGUCACUGAAACAGUUUGGUACUGGCAUAUGACUACCCAGAUCAUUAGAUGACAAUAAAAAGGUCAAAAAUAGAUCCAGAUAUGGGGAUUUAGUACAGGAUGAAGGUAACAUUUCAACUCAGUGGGGAGAGCAUGGUUUAUUUCAUUAAAAGGUUGUAAAACACCUGGAUAACUAAAAAACAAGUUUGGGUCUAUACCUUAUACCCAAAUAACUUCUAACUUUAAAUGUGAAUACUGACUGAAAUUUUAAAAUGCUCCAGAGAAGGCCAAGCUUGGUAGCUCAUGCCUGUAAUUCCAGUGACUGGGAGGCUGAGGCAGGAGAAUAGCAAGUUCAAAGCCAGCCUCAGCAAAAAGGAGGCGCUAAGCAACUCAGUGAGGCCCUAUUUUUAAAUAAAAUACAAAAU